UCUACGGGAGGCAGCAGUGAGGAAUAUUGGUCAAUGGGCGGGAGCCUGAACCAGCCAAGUCGCGUGAGGGAUGACGGACCUAUGGGUUGUAAACCUCUUUUGCCGGGGAGCAAAGUGCCGCACGUGUGCGGUUUGGAGAGUCCCCGGAGAAAAAGCCUCGGCUAAAUCCGUGCCAGCAGCCGCCGUCAUACGGAGGAGGCGAGCGUUAUCCGGAUUUAUGCGGUUUAAAGGGUGCGUAGGCGGACGCUUAAGUCAGCGGUAAACUUGCGGGGCUCAACCUCGUCGAGGCUUUGAAACUGGGUGGCUUGGGUGGGCGAGAAGUACGCGGAAUGCGGGGUGUAGCGGUGAAAUGCAUAGAUAGCACGCAGAA
rnacentral:rRNA from 1 species